UACGUAGGGGGCAAGCGUUGUCCGGAAUCAUUGGGCGUAAAGAGCGUGUAGGCGGCUCGGUAAGUCCGCUGUGAAAGUCCAGGGCUCAACCCUGGAAUGCCGGUGGAAACUGUCGAGCUAGAGUCCGGAAGAGGCGAGUGGAAUUCCUGGUGUAGCGGUGAAAUGCGCAGAUAUCAGGAAGAACACCCGUGGCGAAGGCGGUUCUCUGGGACGGUACUGACGCUGAGACGCGAAAGCGUGGGGAGCGAACAGG
rnacentral:rRNA from 1 species